UCCCCGGUGGUUCAGUGGUUAAGACCCCAUGUUUCCAAUGCAGGGGACACAGGUUCGAUCCCUGGCCAGGGAA
rfam:TPA: Bos taurus chromosome 14, whole genome shotgun sequence.